GUCAGGGGUUCUGUCCAGGAAGGAACAGUCAGAUAAGGACAAGUCAGGGGUUCUGUCCAGGAAGGAACAGUCAGAUAAGGACAAGUCAGGGGUUCUGUCCAGGAAGGAACAGUCAGAUAAGGACAAGUCAGGGGUUCUGUCCAGGAAGGAACAGUCAGAUAGGGACAAGUCAGGGGUUCUGUCCAGGAAGGAACAGUCAGAU